AUGGCGUGUACGCAUCUCACUCAUCAUCAUCGACACAUCCCUGUUAUCUGGAAAGAACAUGGAAGUGCUGUGACCUCCUUGAGGAUCCCAAGAUUCCCCUGCACUUCCCGAAUGAAGCAUGUGCUUCCUUUGGUGACUGUGCUGCUGCAAGCUGCCCAGAGGAGACUUGCUGCAAGGUUCCCAGUCGCCUUCCUGAUCCCCAUGAUGGAGAGUGAUGGGUGCCUGAGAGAGAAGACCACAAAGGAAGAGAGGGGAAAUGUCAGAGAGGCCGGGUAG
rnacentral:lncRNA from 13 species